rnacentral:misc_RNA from 1 species
GAUGAAGAACGCAGCGAAAUGCGAUAAGUAAUGUGAAUUGCAGAAUUCAGUGAAUCAUCGAAUCUUUGAACGCACAUUGCGCCCGCUAGUAUUCUGGCGGGCAUGCCUGUCCGAGCGUCAUUUCAACCCUCAAGCCCCCGGGCUUGGUGUUGGGGAACGGCGAGCCUCCGCGCCCGCCGUCCCCUAAAUCUAGUGGCGGUCUCGCUGUAGCUUCCUCUGCGUAGUAGCACACCUCGCACUGGGAAACAGCGCGGCCACGCCGUUAAACCCCCAACUUCUGAACGUUUGACCUCGGAUCAGGUAGGAAUACCCGCUGAACUUAAGCAUAUCAAUAAGCGGAGGA